rfam:Triticum aestivum genome assembly, contig: Triticum_aestivum_CS42_TGACv1_scaffold_273673_3DS
UGGGCCUUCCCUCUCUCCGGAAAUACUUGUCAUCAAAAUGGAGAAAAGGUGAUGUAUCUAGACGUAUUUUAGUUCUAGAUAAAUCUCUUUUUAUCCAUUUUGAUGACAAGUAUUUUUGAACGAAGGGAGUAUGAU